UACGAAGGGUGCAAGCGUUGCUCGGAAUUAUUGGGCGUAAAGGGUAGGUAGGUGGUGAUGUAUGUCUGGGGUGAAAUCCCUGAGCUCAACUCAGGACGUGCCUUGGAAACUGCAUCACUAGAGUGCUGGAGAGGUUCGUAGAAUUCCCGGUGUAGCGGUGAAAUGCGUAGAGAUCGGGAGGAAUACCAGAGGCGAAGGCGGCGAACUGGACAGCAACUGACACUCAACUACGAAAGCGUGGGGAGCAAACAGG
rnacentral:rRNA from 1 species